UACGUAGGGCGCGAGCGUUGUCCGGAAUUAUUGGGCGUAAAGGGCUUGUAGGUGGCUGGUUGCGUCUGUCGUGAAAGCUCAUGGCUUAACUGUGGGUUUGCGGUGGGUACGGGCUGGCUUGAGUGCAGUAGGGGAGGCUGGAAUUCCUGGUGUAGCGGUGGAAUGCGCAGAUAUCAGGAGGAAUACCGGUGGCGAAGGCGGGUCUCUGGGCUGUUACUGACGCUGAGGAGCGAAAGCGUGGGGAG
rnacentral:rRNA from 1 species